UGUGAAUACUAUUGUUCCCAUGGAAGUUCUUAGUCCUCAUCAGAUGCAAAACUAUUUGAACGCUAUAGUGUGUCACAUUUGCGAGAAACCUUUUACCGAAGAUCAAAUUAAAGUACGCGAUCACCAUCAUAUGACGGGGCGGUACAGAGGGGCGGCUCACCAGGCAUGUAAUUUGAACUUUAACCACUCCCAUGUUAUACCAGUCGUUUUCCAUAACUUAAGCGGAUACGAUGCCCAUUUUUUUAUUCGAGAACUCGCUAUCGGCUUUCCUGGCGGAAUUAAACUCUUACCUUUAAACAAAGAAAAAUAUAUUUCUUUCACGAAGCAUGUGCAGAACACUAACAUAGAUUUUCGAUUUAUCGAUUCCUUUAGAUUUAUGAGCAGUAGUAUAGAUAAGCUAUCUUCGUAUUUAGAUAAUGAGCAGAAAACUAUUACUAGAGCGCAUUGUCGUAAUGCAAAUGAAUUCCAUUUGUUAACUCGAAAGGGAGUGUUUCCAUAUGAUUACGUUGAUUCGUGGGAGAAAUUAAAUGAGACAGUGUUACCAACUCGAGAUGCAUUUUUUAGUCAAUUAAAAAAUGAAGCUGUGAGCGAAGCGGACUAUGAACAUGCGAAUCACAUUUGGAACGCGUUCGAAAUUAAAACCUUAGGUCAAUAUUCUGAUCUCUAUUUGAUGACGGACGUUCUCCUUUUGGCGGAUAUCUUUGAAAAUUUUAGGGAGACUUGUUUGCGUACCUAUCGCUUAGAUCCGUUACAUUAUUACACCGCCCCGGGUUUGGCAUUUGACGCAAUGCUUAAAGUCACCGACGUUAAAUUAGAACUUUUAAGUGACAUUGAUCAAAUGAUGUUUAUUGAAAGUGGUAUAAGAGGAGGUGUAGCACAAUGUUCAAUGAGAUACGCGAAGGCCAAUAACCCGUACAUGAAAGAAAAAUAUAAUCCUAACCUGGAGACGACCUAUUUAAUGUAUUAUGAUAUUAAUAACCUUUAUGGUGCCUCAAUGUGUGAAUUCUUGCCUUGCAGCGAUUUUUCCUUUGUAGAUGACAUUCAAAAUUUAGAUAUUCUAAACCAUCCUGAUGAUUCAGACGUUGGUUAUAUUGUAGACUGUGAUUUAGAGUAUCCUUUGGAAUGCCACAGAUUACAUUCUGAUUUACCUUUGGCCCCAGAGCAUCUAGUGCCAAAUAACUCAAAAUUAAAGAAACUAAUGCUUACCUUGUACCCAAAGCACAACUACGUAGUUCAUUAUAGAAAUUUAAAGAUGUACGUACAACAUGGGUUAAAGUUGAUAAAAAUAAAUAGAGUAUUACAGUUUAAGCAAUCACCGUGGCUGAAAAAGUAUAUUGAAUUAAACACUCGCAUGAGGCAACAAGCGAAAAAUAUGUUUGAAAUAGAAUUUUACAAAUUAAUGAUUAAUUGCGUCUAUGGUAAACUUAUGGAGAACGUGCGAAAAUACAAAGAUGUGAAACUAUUAACCAAAUGGGAGGGAAGGUAUGAAGCCCGUGCGUAUAUAGCGAAGCCAAACUUUAGCAGUUGUACGAUUUUUGAUAAGGAUAUGGUUAUAAUAGAGAUGGAUAGGUUAGAGAUAUUUUUCAAUAAACCAAUAUACGCGGGAUUUGCCGUUUUAGAUAUAUCAAAAACGUUUCUCUAUGACUUUCAUUAUAACUACAUUCUCAAAAAGUUUAAAGAUAAAACAAAACUUCUGUAUACAGAUACCGAUAGCCUAAUAUACUAUUUUACAGUUCCCAAUAUAUACGAGAAUAUAAAAGAUGAUAUACAUCGAUUUGAUACCUCAAAUUAUGAUAUCAAUAAUGAAUAUGGGAUUCCAUUAAGGCCGUCUGACACUAUGCUAAAUUUUGUAUAAAAUUUUGCACUAGAAAAUUUUGUAAAAAAUUUUGUACAAAAUUUAGAAAAAAAAAUGAAAUGUGUCUGACACUAUUUAAAAAUUAUGGUAAAAUAAAAUUAUUCACGCUUGCUCAGUCUCAGUUACAACAUGGGGAAUUUUGAUUUUGGUUGUUACCUCAUUGGUUUUCACUAAAAGCAGCUGUUGGUGCGACAUAACCUAUACGCUUUGUUAUUAUAUGUACUUAUUUAGUCGAAUCGAUUACAUUUCAUAUCACUGACUUUAGCUAUGCCUAAUACAAACAUAUCAUUAAUGCACGCGGCGCUUGCCGCCACGGCAAUUAUUCUUUUGCGAAAAAUGCUGUUACGCUUAAAACAAAAACGCAAUCGACGAAGAUUGUGGUCGAGAACGUGGUUACAACGGCGAAAUGAGGGUAGAGGCGUUUUAAAUAUGUUAAACCAAGAGCUUCUGCAGGAGGACCCCGUAUCUUACCAAAAUUACCUUCGCUUAAACAAUAAACAGCUGGGAUAUUUGCUAGCAUUAGUGAAAGAUGACAUAACCAAACAAGAUACCCACUUACGAGAGUGUAUCCCCGCUAGAAGCAAAUUACAAGUUACUCUAAGAUUUUUGGCAACCGGAGAGACGUUUCGAUCCCUUAUGUACGCAACAAGGAUUCACGAAACUACAAUUAGUCGUUUCAUACCCGAGGUGUGCAACGCAAUCGUGUUAAAAUUGAAACCAAAUUAUUUGAAGACACCAAACACGCCAGAAGAGUGGAAUAAAAUUGCGGAUGAUUUUAAUAAUUUAUGGCAGUUUCCACACUGCAUUGGAGCACUCGAUGGACGCCAUAUAACAUUCAGAGCCCCAAUCUCGGCAGGAUCGUACUAUUACAACUAUAAAGGUUCUAAUAGUAUUGUGCUGCUGGGUUUGGCAGAUGCAAAUUAUAAAUUUAUUUACAUAAAUAUUGGUGUUAACGGACGCAUUAGCGAUGGCGGGGUGUUUAACAACAGUAAGUUGUCAAAGGCACUGCAAGACAACACACUUAAUUUGCCACAGCCCAAACUGCUGCCAGGAAUGGAACAUCCAAUGCCCUAUGUCAUUGUCGCCGAUGAUGCAUUUCCAUUAGCAACAAACCUAAUGAAGCCCUAUCCUGAACGAGGACUUACCAAAGAAUGCAGGAUAUUUAAUUAUCGUCUAUCACGUGCAAGACGCAUAAUUGAAAAUGCAUUUGGCAUUUUAGUGAAUAGAUUUAGGGUACUUUUAAAUCCAAUUAAUUUAAUUCCAGAAAAAGUAGAAUUAAUUACAUUGACUUGUGUCUUAUUACAUAAUUUUCUUGCCACUGAAAACUCACAAUCCUAUAUAGAGAUUGACGAGGACAUCAAAGACCUGCAAAAAGUAACACGACAGUGUGGUAAUCGAACGUCGAAUAAUGCGAGAGAAAUUCGUGAUCGAUUUAAAACUUUUUUCAAUUCUUUAGAAGGGUCUGUAGAUUGGCAGGAAGAGGCAAUAAAUAAUUUUAAUAUGUAUACAAUGUAUUUUAUAUUCUUACCCUGGCCUAUUAUUUACAUUCUACUUUUUUUUAUACUGCGAUACAGGCAUUCAACAAUUUCCUGUUCCACUUCGAGACGUAUGUCUUCGUUCGUAAUUUGAUUUAAGGUCGAUUCUCACUUUCGUGCAAGGCACGUACUCGGCACAGGCAAGGCACCGACUCGGCAAAAUAUCUAUAUUAUUGAAUCUUAUGAAUUUUUUGGGGUGUAAUUCACACUA